CAGACUCGUGGCGAAUAGCUCAGUAACACGUGGCCAAACUACCCUUCGGAACACAAUACCCUCGGGAAACUGAGGCUAAUAGUGUAUAUCAUACCACCACUGGAAUGAGUGGUAUGUCAAACGCUCCGGCGCCGAAGGAUGUGGCUGCGGCCGAUUAGGUAGACGGUGGGGUAAUGGCCCACCGUGCCAAUAAUUGGUACGGGUCAUGAGAGUGAGAACCCGGAGACGGAAUCUGAGACAAGAUUCCGGGCCCUACGGGGCGCAGCAGGCGCGAAACCUUUACACUGCACGACAGUGCGAUAGGGGGAUCCCAAGUGCACAGGCAUAGCGCCUGUGCUUUUCGGUACCCUAAGGCGGUACCAGAAUAAGGGCUGGGCAAGACCGGUGCCAGCCGCCGCGGUAAUACCGGCAGCCCAAGUGAUGGCCGAUCUUAUUGGGCCUAAAGCGUCCGUAGCUGGCCGCGCAAGUCCAUCGGGAAAUCCACCUGCUCAACAGGUGGGCGCCCGGUAGAAACUGCGUGGCUUGGGACCGGAAGGCGCGACGGGUACGUCCGGGGUAGGAGUGAAAUCCUGUAAUCCUGGACGGACCGCCGAUGGCGAAAGCACGUCGCGAGGACGGAUCCGACAGUGAGGGACGAAAGCCAGGGUCUCGAACCGGAUUAGAUACCCGGGUAGUCCUGGCCGUAAACAAUGUCUGCUAGGUGUGGCUCCCACUACGAGUG
rnacentral:rRNA from 1 species